rnacentral:rRNA from 1 species
AUAUUGCACAAUGGGCGCAAGCCUGAUGCAGCCAUGCCGCGUGUGUGAAGAAGGCCUUCGGGUUGUAAAGCACUUUCAGCGAGGAGGAAGGGCAGUGUGUUAAUAGCACAUUGCAUUGACGUUACUCGCAGAAGAAGCACCGGCUAACUCCGUGCCAGCAGCCGCGGUAAUACGGAGGGUGCAAGCGUUAAUCGGAAUUACUGGGCGUAAAGCGCACGCAGGCGGUUUGUUAAGUCAGAUGUGAAAUCCCCGCGCUUAACGUGGGAACUGCAUUUGAAACUGGCAAGCUAGAGUCUUGUAGAGGGGGGUAGAAUUCCAGGUGUAGCGGUGAAAUGCGUAGAGAUCUGGAGGAAUACCGGUGGCGAAGGCGGCCCCCUGGACAAAGACUGACGCUCAGGUGCGAAAGCGUGGGGAGCAAACAG